ensembl:lncRNA
GGCGAGUUGAAUCCUGCAGGAGAAUCCUGCUGCAUCCCCAGAGAAGCUGGGGAGGGGUGUCCUCACUGUGCACCCCUCUGCCUCAGACACUGCCAGCUGGGGCUCCCAGGGCUCCCUGAACCCAGUUGCCGUCCAGACACCCUGAAGGCGAGGUGGGGUCAAGGCAUUUCAGGUCACCUUCAUGCUGGACUUCAGUGCCACAGCAGCGACAGAAAAAACCAAGGCUCUGCACUACCCUCUGCGCCGUCUGGGACCAGCUCCCUGUUUGUUCUCUUUGAGUGGAAGACAGAUCAGCCAUGAGUACCUGGCACUGUUUUAUAUCUCAGUGUGGCAUUUGACCCAGCAUACCAGAGCCAGCUCAGCCCUGAGAACUGUGCCAUGCCCCUUGGAAGCCCUCAGUAGGAUUUGGACUGGCUGGCCAGCUCCUGCCUCUAGAACAUGAGCUCUUCAAGGUCACAGACUGUGUCCGCUUAAGUCCUUGUUUACAAGACAGAAAUUGUUAGCAUGCGAAUGUUCUGAAGUCUUCUGCCUCAGCCCACCAGAACAACCUUGUAGUUGACAACACAUCUCCUCCCUCUCGCUGAAGAGGAGGGAUUCUUUCAGAAGACCAUUUCACCACUUCGGCUGAACCCAUGGGUGCUGCCUUCACACUGUUUACAUUUGGAGACCAUGCUUAGCACUGUGCCUGAGAGAAAUGCAGUAGAUGCUCAAUGAAUGCCCGUGGAAAGAAUGAGCAGUCACUUUACAGCAUCUGCACUGAGCCCUGGCAUCUGUCAGCUGCUCCUCUGCCUGGGGACAUGUCAGAACGCCAUCAGGCACUAAAAUAGCAACAGCUUAUAGGAGAGUGUGUUCAAGCUUGCACCAGCACCAGCUAUUAAACUUCUGACCUUUCACUUGG